rnacentral:rRNA from 1 species
UGGUCUUGACAUAGUAAGAACUUUCCAGAGAUGGAUUGGUGCCUUCGGGAACUUACAUACAGGUGCUGCAUGUCUGUCGUCAGCUCGUGUCGUGAGAUGUUGGGUUAAGUCCCGCAACGAGCGUAACCCUUUUCCUUAUUUGCCAGCGGGUUAAGCCGGGAACUUUAAGGAUACUGCCAGUGACAAACUGGAGGAAGGCGGGGACGACGUCAAGUCAUCAUGGCCCUUACGACCAGGGCUACACACG